rnacentral:rRNA from 1 species
CAAAAAAGGUAUAGUAAAGACUUAAGGUGAAACCUGCUCAGUGGCCUAGUAAAACAAUGUUGAAUAAGCAUUAAUUUAGGUUAAACAGCCGCCUUAAUCCUCAAGGGUGUGAAAUAAGCAUAAUCGGAUACCGUUUAAUUGGCGGAGUGUUGAAUGGAUUCACGAGUGCAAAGCUGUCUUGAACUGAAUUUAAAAUAAACUAGAUUUAUAAGUGAAGAAGCUUAUUAAAUUAAUAAGACGAAAAGACCCCGUGAAGCUUAACUAUAUUUUACCUCUUAUUUAAAUUAAAAUAAGUCGAUUAUAUUUAUUUAUAUUUAUUAGCUUAUGAUUUAAUUUUUCAAAGGUAUUUUGGUAGUUUUGAUGGGGUGUCAGCACGUUAAAAUCAACAUGGAGUUAAUGAAUAUAAUAUUCUAAAGCUAGUGUAAUUAACAUAUUUACACAGAAAAAUAUUUUGAUAAAAUGACCCGCCUAUAUUGAUAAUGUAUAGACGACAAAGAAUGAUAGCUACUCCGGGGAUAACAGGGUAAUUGAUCUCAGUAGUCGUUAUGUUGGGGUCAGUUUACCA